UUUCAUGUAGUGCCCCAUCUCUUCACUGCCGGUAUUGCUCAUUUCUACGAGGGUUACUACACUAGCAAAGGAAUGAAUAUGAAAGGGAUUUAAACCAUCACUGAUUUGUGCCUAUAUGGUCCGAGCUGGUGCAGCUUCUCCCCAAGAUCUGCGCUAAAUAAAGUUGUCGCUUUUCUUUGUAGCUACCUGGAAUCAUAUACUGUGAAGAUUGCCAUUAAUGGCCUGGAAAGGUUCAGGGAAGUGAAAUAUGAUCUCAUCAUUAUUGACACGAGUGGGCGCCAUAAGCAGGAGGUUGCGCUCUUUGAGGAAAUGCGUCAAGUUCCUGAAUGAACUUAUUUGCAUCAGGCAGCUGCCAUGAUUGACCUUCCUCUUCUGGAUCUCCUGAUGUACAUCGACCUCCACCCCGGCUCCAAGUGCCGACGCCAAGUGCGAGGAGAAGGUUCAUGCUAAGAUACAUAAGAUGGGACUAGAUGUUGAAACUGACAUGACUGAUAAGAAAAUUCAGAAGAAGAUAAUGCUAUCAUGCAUUUUAUUUAUCCUUAUGACUGACACAAAAUAAUUGUCUUCGUCAUCAGUGGCUGUGGUCAAGAACCCUCAUGAUUACUACAUUCUUAUAAAGCAAGAAAAAAAGAGAUGAAAUUUCCUUGUUGUUCUGCAGUGCUUAAGAGAUCUCAUUUUGGAGCCAUUGAUUGAACGGGACAAAGUUUUUAAGAAAUCAGUUGUGUUUGAGAUGUGAAUGCAUUUGUUUAAUUAGCAUCGAUGAUCAUUUCACAUUGUACAUAAAAUUCUUGAUCUACUGUUCUGGUUACAUUAUGCUCAGUCAAUUUUCAGGCUGCAGAUAUACUUUCCAAGGAGGGAAUCAGUGCUGAGGUACCUUUUGCAAAACACAUUAUGUAGUACAAUUAUGUUACGUUUUUUGACUACAUCCAUUAGUAUGUUCUUAUUAUCCUCUAAUAUUUGUUAACAUGUGAUCAACCAUCAGUCAAUUAGACCACCGGAUAGAGCUGCUAUCAACACAUUUGUUAGGAAAACAAACAAAUUGGUAACCGUUGAAAAAGGCUUUCCACAACAUGGGGUUGGUGCUGAAAUAUGGCGCAUCUCAUAUGCUUGGGUGUUGGUUUCUCAAAUGCAUCUGUAUAGCAGCAUCUCUGUUGCGGAGGACAACUUUGAGUAGCCUCAAAAAGUCAAAAGAUUGGCAACUCCACAGAUGGAUUUCGGAUAGAGAGCUUCAGGAUCUCCUUUCUUGCGAUCUCAUACCAACUCACUGGAACUCCAUGUCAUCCCCGUGGUUCUGAAAUUUAUUUGCAGAAAUGAAUUCAAAGAAAGAGGGAGGAAAGAACUCCUUGGUUGUAGUUCAGAUCAUCGGCCUGCUAUGAUUCUCUUUCAUGAUUAAAAAUUUUAGUCGAAGAGUCUUGGCUUCUUAUUGGGUCUUUGAAGUUAUGUCCAGUGGUUAUCGUUCAUCAUCGUCGUCAGAUGAUUUCAUUUUGUGGAUGCUUGAGUUCAGAAAAUUUAGGCUCUGCAGUCCAUCUCUAUAUGUACAAGUCUUUGUAGGAUAUAAGACUGCUACUCUGUGUUCAUAUAAGCCUAUCUAUUAAUAAUA